UACGGAGGGUGCAAGCGUUAUCCGGAUUCACUGGGUUUAAAGGGUGCGUAGGCGGGCAGUUAAGUCAGUGGUGAAAUCUCUGGGCUCAACCCGGAAACUGCCAUUGAUACUAUCUGUCUUGAAUAUUGUGGAGGUGAGCGGAAUAUGUCAUGUAGCGGUGAAAUGCUUAGAUAUGACAUAGAACACCGAUUGCGUAGGCAGCUCGCUACACAUAUAUUGACGCUGAGGCACGAAAGCGUGGGGAUCAAACAGG
rnacentral:rRNA from 2 species